AGUGAACGCUGGCGGUAGGCCUAACACAUGCAAGUCGAACGGCAGCACAGUAAGAGCUUGCUCUUACGGGUGGCGAGUGGCGGAUGGGUGAGGAAUACAUCGGAAUCUACUUUUUCGUGGGGGAUAACGUAGGGAAACUUACGCUAAUACCGCAUACGACCUACGGGUGAAAGCAGGGGAUCUUCGGACCUUGCGCGAUUGCAUGAGCCGAUGUCGGAUUAGCUAGUUGGCGGGGUAAAGGCCCACCAAGGCGACGAUCCGUAGCUGGUCUGAGAGGAUGAUCAGCCACACUGGAACUGAGACACGGUCCAGACUCCUACGGGAGGCAGCAGUGGGGAAUAUUGGACAAUGGGCGCAAGCCUGAUCCAGCCAUACCGCGUGGGUGAAGAAGGCCUUCGGGUUGUAAAGCCCUUUUGUUGGGAAAGAAAAGCAGCAGGUUAAUACCCCGCUGUUCUGACGGUACCCAAAGAAUAAGCACCGGCUAACUUCGUG
rnacentral:rRNA from 1 species